rnacentral:lncRNA from 1 species
AUUGGAGCCUUCCCACUUCCUCUCCAAUCUCAGCCCCCGGGAGGAGGGGUGAGGCCCUCGAGGGGGCCCGGAGUUAAGGAGGAAUAGACCGUUUCUCUCUCUCCUGUCUCCCCCGCCUCUGCCCGUCUUCCCUCUAAGCCGGCCUCUAGGUGCAGAGGCUGACGUCCAGGAUGGGGACCGGGGAAGCCUCUGGAGGGUAUAUCCGGGAAGGCACCAAGGCUGAAAAAGAUGCAGUCUAGCACCUCAGUUAAGAAUAUGGACUCUAAAGUCAGACUGCCAGGCUUCAAAUUCCAGUUCUGCGACCUCAGCAAAGUUACUUAACCAAGCUCUCAGUGCCUUGUUUUCUUCAUCUGUAAAAUGAGGAUGACGUCACAGCAUUGUUGAGAGAAUUAAUACAGGCUCCAGACUUGUGAAUGGAGAAGUGUUGAGGUGACCCCAGCUCCAGCCACCAGCUGACGACAACCAUACCGGAGAUCCUGAGAGCUGCCUAGCUGACCCCAGGCACCCCCCAGACUUCAUGUAAGCUGUUUGAAGCCGAGGACUUUGUCUGUUUUGUUCACUCCCAAUAGAUUCAGCACUUAGAAGAAUGCCAGGCAGGCUUUCCCCACCAACCAAGAUGGAAUAACAGGGAAAAGACAUACCCUUCUAUCUUCAAUAAUUGGAAACCCAGACAAAGUUUAUGAAACGCUGGUUUUCAAGACAUAGGACAUCAGACAAUCAAGGACAGUAAACACUGAGAUGGGAAACAAACAAGGUGAGUACUGCAAUUGCCCAACAUUACUAGCUGGAAAGAGUUUCCCGACCAUGGCAGAGGGAGG